rnacentral:rRNA from 1 species
GGAAUAUUGGACAAUGGGCGAAAGCCUGAUCCAGCAAUGCCGCGUGAGUGAUGAAGGCCCUAGGGUUGUAAAGCUCUUUUACCCGGGAUGAUAAUGACAGUACCGGGAGAAUCAGCCCCGGCUAACUCCGUGCCAGCAGCCGCGGUAAUACGGAGGGGGCUAGCGUUGUUCGGAAUUACUGGGCGUAAAGCGCGCGUAGGCGGCUUUGCAAGUUAGAGGUGAAAGCCCGGAGCUUAACUCCGGAACUGCCUUUAAAACUGCAUCGCUAGAAUCAUGGAGAGGUUAGUGGAAUUCCGAGUGUAGAGGUGAAAUUCGUAGAUAUUCGGAAGAACACCAGUGGCGAAGGCGACUCACUGGACACGUAUUGACGCUGAGGUGCGAAAGCGUGGGGAGCAAAC